ensembl:misc_RNA Metazoa_SRP Metazoan signal recognition particle RNA
GUUGGGUAUGCUGGUGCACACCUGCAGUCCCAGCUACCCAGGAGGCUGAGGAUUGCUGGAGCCCAUUUCUGGGCCGCAUUGCACUGUGCUGAUCAGUUGUCCACACUAAGUUUGGCGUCAGUGUGGUUACCUCCCAGGAGCGAGGGACCACCAAGUCGCUUAAGUAGGGGUGAACUGGCUAGGUCAGAAACAGAGCAGGUCAGAGCUCCCAUGCUGAUCAAUAGUGGAAUCACGCCUGUGGUAGCCACUGUGCUCCAGCCUGGGCAAUAUAGCAAGCCUCU